rnacentral:rRNA from 1 species
GAUGAACGCUGGCGGCGUGCUUAACACAUGCAAGUCGAACGAAGCACUUAAGACAGAUUCUUCGGAUGAUGGAUUAAGUGACUGAGUGGCGGACGGGUGAGUAACGCGUGGGUAACCUGCCUCAUACAGGGGGAUAACAGUUAGAAAUGACUGCUAAUACCGCAUAAGCGCACAGUACCGCAUGGUACAGUGUGAAAAGCCGAGACGGUAUGAGAUGGACCCGCGUCUGAUUAGCUAGUUGGUGGGUAACGGCCCACCAAGGCGACGAUCAGUAGCCGACCUGAGAGGGUGACCGGCACAUUGGGACUGAGACACGGGCCCAAAACUCCUACGGGAGGCAGCAGUGGGGAAUAUUGCACAAUGGGGGAAACCCUGAUGCAGCGACGCCGCGUGAGUGAAG